AGGAUCCGCGCUGCAUUAGCUAGUUGGUAAGGUAACGGCUUACCAAGGCAACGAUGCAUAGCCGACCUGAGAGGGUGAUCGGCCACACUGGAACUGAGACACGGUCCAGACUCCUACGGGAGGCAGCAGUAGGGAAUCUUCCGCAAUGGGCGAAAGCCUGACGGAGCAACGCCGCGUGAGUGAUGAAGGUCUUCGGAUCGUAAAACUCUGUUAUUAGGGAAGAACAUAUGUGUAAGUAACUGUGCACAUCUUGACGGUACCUAAUCAGAAAGCCACGGCUAACUACGUGCCAGCAGCCGCGGUAAUACGUAGGUGGCAAGCGUUAUCCGGAAUUAUUGGGCGUAAAGCGCGCGUAGGCGGUUUUUUAAGUCUGAUGUGAAAGCCCACGGCUCAACCGUGGAGGGUCAUUGGAAACUGGAAAACUUGAGUGCAGAAGAGGAAAGUGGAAUUCCAUGUGUAGCGGUGAAAUGCGCAGAGAUAUGGAGGAACACCAGUGGCGAAGGCGACUUUCUGGUCUGUAACUGACGCUGAUGUGCGAAAGCGUGGGGAUCAAACAGGAUUAGAUACCCUGGUAGUCCACGCCGUAAACGAUGAGUGCUAAGUGUUAGGGGGUUUCCGCCCCUUAGUGCUGCAGCUAACGCAUUAAGCACUCCGCCUGGGGAGUACGACCGCAAGGUUGAAACUCAAAGGAAUUGACGGGGACCCGCACAAGCGGUGGAGCAUGUGGUUUAAUUCGAAGCAACGCGAAGAACCUUACCAAAUCUUGACAUCCUUUGACAACUCUAGAGAUAGAGCCUUCCCCUUCGGGGGACAAAGUGACAGGUGGUGCAUGGUUGUCGUCAGCUCGUGUCGUGAGAUGUUGGGUUAAGUCCCGCAACGAGCGCAACCCUUAAGCUUAGUUGCCAUCAUUAAGUUGGGCACUCUAAGUUGACUGCCGGUGACAAACCGGAGGAAGGUGGGGAUGACGUCAAAUCAUCAUGCCCCUUAUGAUUUGGGCUACACACGUGCUACAAUGGACAAUACAAAGGGUAGCGAAACCGCGAGGUCAAGCAAAUCCCAUAAAGUUGUUCUCAGUUCGGAUUGUAGUCUGCAACUCGACUACAUGAAGCUGGAAUCGCUAGUAAUCGUAGAUCAGCAUGCUACGGUGAAUACGUUCCCGGGUCUUGUACACACCGCCCGUCACACCACGAGAGUUUGUAACACCCGAAGCCGGUGGAGUAACCUUUUAGGAGCUAGCCGUCGAAGGUGGGACAAAUGAUUGGGGUAA
rnacentral:rRNA from 1 species